UUGGGCGAGAGUAGUACUAGGAUGGGUGGCCCCCUGGGAAGUCCUCGUGUUGCAUCCCU
rnacentral:rRNA from 1 species